rnacentral:snRNA from 1 species
UUUGCGGUUUUGUAAAUUUAUAAUAAUAAAAAAAAAAUCUGUUCUUAUCAGUUUAAUAUCUGAUACGUCCCCCAUCGGGGGACCACAUAUUAAACGGAUUUUUGGAACAGGGAGCUGGAUCNNNN